UCAUGGUUGAGUGGUAAGGACACUUGCCUCUCACCUAGGAGUCCCGGGUUCGAUCCCCGGUUGAGGAG
rnacentral:tRNA from 1 species